rnacentral:rRNA from 1 species
AUGGGUCAUACUCUCAGGCUCAGGACAACCAUGCCCCCUCGUACCACCAGAACGGGAAGGCCCCUGAUUUCCACGCCGAGGAGCCGAGGCCGCUGGCAUACAACAGCGGCGUUGUGGAAAGGCCGCCGCCGCCUCAGCACCAGUGGGUGCCCCCUCAGCCUCCAGGUGUUGCCAUGCCAGAAGCGGCGGCCGCCAUCCGUCAACAGAAGUCCCUUACGAAGCAACCGUCCAGCGACAUGUCCGAGGCGACGGUGA